rnacentral:rRNA from 1 species
UGUGCGCGGGACGAAGUAGGAACGGAGCGGACGUCGAGGAGAGGAGACGCGGCGGUGGCGGGCAGGAGGAGGAGAGGAGACGCGGCGGCGGCGGGUUGGAGGAGGAGAGGAGACGCGGCGGCGGCGGGCAGGAGGAGGGGAGUGUAGCGCGGGCGUGCCGGGACGAUGCGGCGACAGAGACAACGGCAGACUGGAUCUACGCCGAUCUCAAGCAGCCGCGGCGUGUGCCUCCUCUGCCCCGCUCCUCCUCGUGCUCGGUGGCGUUGGUGGAUGGGCUGCCACGACAGUACCAACAGCAGCAACACUGGAUGUCUCUAUCUCUCUCCCUAAACCUUUUUCCUCUGCCCUCGUUCUACUCUUCUGCUUCUUCUUCGUGACGGUGGAGGCAGGGGUAGGUGACGACCCGAGACGAAAAGUAGGGUUUGAAAAGUGGAGGUGCGGGGACGUUUAAAGAGGUAGGGAAAGAAUGUCUAAGAAAACCACAUACGGAUGUUCAACAAACUACUUUAAAGUUCGUCCUUCCAUACGUACCAUUACAAUUUCUCCGGGGAAUACGAGGACGUCCAAACACCCACUAAGGGACAACCCAAAAGGACACCAUCUAAGAGACAACCACUUCUGACCACGUUAUGAAGGACCUCUGUAUACCAAAGUUAUAAGUCGUGUGAUGUAAUGGGACAAUGAAAAACACAUCUUUAUUAUCCAAUAUAGAAGACGAAAGAUGGUAUUCUUUACUAUUUAGUUCCACCUAUUAUUGUCCAAUAUAGUGUUAUCACUAGUUUCCCUUCUCUUCAUGAAAACGUUCAGUACGCACCUUAAAAUAGUCUGUUUAAAUAUAAGAAGUCUACACAUUAGGAUAAAAAGACUCUAUAUACAUAAAGAAGAACGAGUAAGAAAACCCGAAUCCCCGUCAUCUUAUUAGUCUUAUAUGGACUUCACAAACAUGGUAGACGUAUGUGAAAUCGAGUCUUAUUAUUACACGAAGGAGAAUGAACGAGACGAAAUUAUUACAUGUAUGUAGUCAAAACUAUAUAUAUAUUAACCAUCGUCUAUUUGUUAUAAUCAAAAGGUCACUUACUAAAAUCUAAGAAGGUACUUUCGUAGAGGGGGGAAAAACGCUAAAGGCAAAGUACUUUACUCAAUGCUACUGACAGCACUAUACAAAGAAGAGACUUAUAAAUAAUGGUACUUGAGCUCAUAGGCCACACACAUCAACAUAUGGAGGAAAAAUCUUAACCUACUUGUGGGUAUCAAGUCAAACCCGAGUACGUCACACACAAAAGAGCUUACGAAUGAGAACUACGAAGCACACUAAGUUGUAGCUAUUAAAGAAAAUGAAUCAAAAAUACGUAAAAUACAUAACAAACAACAGCUUAUCUAAGACUUGGCUACAUGUACUUGUUUUUAUCUACUAUUACAUAGCUAUUUAAGGUUAAUAAAUACGUACUAGUAAAACGAUCCGCUGUUUCCUUUUUGGACUUUGAUUAAAGGCAAAUUGUAUUUGAGAUUAUAGAUAUGACAUGUAUGUAAAAUCUGUACAUAUAAACAAGUGGUUGAUAAAUAAAAGACAACUUUACUUACCAUUAUGAGCUAAAAGUUAAAGGAUUUAGAUAUAAUAAGAAGACAACUAUUUUUAUUAUAACCCCGUGUGGUGUAUGAUUAAGUGAGUCAAAUCCAGACAAAGGAAACUCUAAGUGUUUGUUCACUACAUCUUAACUAGGCUUAAAAUUUGUCUGGAUGUGAACUCAAAUACUGACGAAAAAUACAUAAUAUAAGAAAAUGUCCUUACGUAGGUAUUAGAACCAUAUUUUAAAUAGAGCUACCGAGUCUUGGAAGUUUACCGUACCUUUUUGGCAGCGGGUUUACGUAUACCUCAUGAGUUCGACUUGUUCGGUUAACCUACCAUCUUAUACGAUAGUCCGAAUUUCAAAUAUCACUCCAAACUUCUCUUUUAUAUCUUUUCAUGAAGUUAACAUUCACGUACGAAUGCCUCAAGAUAGUACGUGUUAGUACACACGUGUAGCCAGAUAGGUCUUCUAAUCGAGCGCUGGGAGAGGCGGCCGAGGGGCCCCCAGCGUAGGCCGAACGGCGUUCAUGUGGAUGCGGCGGCGGAGGGGCCCCCGGCGUUCCACUUCACCUGCUGGCCCCUCUUCCGUACACCGCCCCCCGUCCGAGAGUUCACCCUCUGUCUCGAGCGGAGGGGGUUGCUGCUGUUGAAGCUGGAGUUCACCUUCACCCUCCGGUUCAGGUUCGGACCGCGGCAACCGUCCGGUUUUGGUUCACCCCGUGACUCCUUCGGUUGUUCCUACUGUUCUUCUUCGGCCACUCCUUCACACAGGUCUCGUUCCUCUAGGGGCAACCGACCUGCAGGUCUAGCUCUGAAGUAAACUAUCUGCGUUAUUAUCCUUGACCGAAGAUACCACAUGCUCUGUUCGAGUUCGUGAUGUUCCUGUGUUACCCGUAAAAGAUUACUCAACACCUUUAUCCCGUAUGGUAAUUCAUAAUCUUGGUAGUCUUCCAUUACUACCCCGUUUUGAAGAGAUCCUUUCCUGAACGGUAGGGGAAGGUUAUGUUGAGCCGCAGUGGCCCAUUCUGCGACUAUGUAAUGUUCCGUCUAGAGUCGACUUGAGAGGGAGGGGCGGGACCUCAGGUUCGCAAACACCGGAUGUAGGCACUCGAGGUACAGAGGCAGGGAGGUGGCUCGUCGCCGUGUGUGUGUUCCCCUAGUUCGCGUUGGUUUACCUGCUACGAGGAAGGACGGUGUGGGUACACAGGGCAAGUCUAAUGUCCAACGUACAUACUUAUAGGUUCACCCUACGAACUAGAUAAAUGACUUUGUUCUGCACAAAUAUAUACAGUUUUACAGACAACCUCUCCGUGCUUUCGCGUUUCCAGCACUACACAUUCCUAAAUUAGUUCCUCUGUUGGGCCAUCUCGAUAGUUCACAAUCCCAUAUCGGAUUGAUUCAUCCAAAUAAUAGAGGGUAACGUAGAGAGAACUAGUUCUGUACGGUACUGGACCAAAUAACAUAAACAAUACAAUAUUACCUAACAGAACCGAACGAAAACCUGAUUUCGGAAAACAUCAACAGACCUAGUUAACGAUACAUGACCUACACAUACAUAGCUACGUUACGAAGACUAUAUUUGAACUAUAUAAUCUAACCAUUUGUGUU